CCUUAAACUUUUCCUCUUCAAUUGUUUUUAAUUUCCGUUUUUCUUUAAAUGCCUUCACUUCUUAAGUGAGCGGAAGGAGCUAAGGGCUGAAAGAAAAGGCCCAGUGAGAAGGAAAUCACUUCUGGCUUUUCAGACCUUUUCACUUGUCCCUUUCUCCACCGUUGGCCCAAGAUUCACACCCGGCAACUGAGUUUUAGACCUCUUCCUUCAUUCAGGGCCUAGACCAGAGUCUGCACUUAGCCUUCAGUAUAAAUAGUUGGAUAAAGGAUAGCUUCCUUGGGCGGAAUGCCCUCAGAUCAGCUCACUUUGAGGGUGUAGUUUUUUUUUUUUUUCUACUCAGCUGAAAGGCAGAUAAACACAUAUGUUUUACAUUGGUGUUAUUUAUAUAGCUAUGCCCCCAAAGGGGGGGGGUAAAGUUGUUGGAAAUAUUUUUCUUGGUCUUGUUCAUAUACAUAUAUGCUGUGAAUUUUAGGAUGUUGAAGUUACUCUUAAGGCGUUUCCUUUACAUUUUGAUGUCUUUAAAAAACGAUUUUACUUCUUUCAUAAGAGGUGAAGACCUUGCAAAAUGAAGCUAAUCUCUUUUAGAAACUAAGAGAUUUCUUACCUCCUGCUGCUUUAUUACAAUUGAACACUUUUUCAACCGAGUCACUUUCUUUGUUGUGUUUCGAAUGGUUUGAUGAUUCUUAUUCUUUAUCAUAACUUUUAUUUUUUUGAAUGCCGUAACCAUUUUUUUAUAUAACCAGGCAAGCAAUUUUAGGUUUGGAAAUGUGUAAGACUAAAUUCAGUCAGUUGGUACAUACAUAUUAAAUACAUAUUCUACUGAGCACCAGUUGUGUAAUCCACGGACUAUUCCCUAGAGCGUUUUAAGUCCUACUCUCAUUGAUUGUAAAAUAGUGAAAUUAUAUAACCAAUGAGCUAAUAAGCAUGAAACUAAUUUGAAAGGUUAUAAUUGCUAAUCAAAUGUAAAGCAUAUUUAUUAGCAUCAUUAUUAAAAGGUGCCAGAGGAUACAGAUAAAACCUGUUCCUAUCCUCUGGGAACUUACAAUCUAGUUGGGCAUAAAUAAUGAAAUGUAAAUUGAUAGAAAGAGCUCCUAAGCAGUGUUCAGUGUCUGGCGUAUUGAAGACAGAAAAUGAUUGCCUCACAUUAAUUUGUAGCCCUGACAUUCUUUUAACAGAAAUAUAAUACUGUAAGUAAUGGAAGGAUUAAUUAGGAAAAAAUUUCAUGGAAAAAAUGAAUUUGUCCUUCUUAAGUCAUGUGUGAAGAUUGGGGGCAUAUAAGCUGUUUGCUUGUGAGGGAUAAAAUGGUAUUAAGUGUGGGAUAGGAAAAACGCGAGGUGAAAGUGUAAACAACCUUACAAGAUCAUUAUUAUUGAUACAUUUCUAUAAAAUUUUGUUAAUUAGAUGUAUGCAUGGGGCAUGGGCAUGUGAAUGAAGGGAUAUGAGGAAGCCAGAGAAAUCAGAGCUCUCUGGAGAUGGAGUUACAGGCAGCUGUGAGCCACCGACAACACGGUGCUGAGAACCAAACAGGCUUCUCUGGAAGAGCAGCUUUGGCUCUUGACUUCUGGGCCAUCUCUUCCAUCCCCUGACACUUACUUCUACAUGAUUCUAUCUAAACUCUGAAUGUAAAGAAAAUUGAAGAGGAUUAAGAAAAGAUUCAGGUAAAUAUCUGAAACAUGGUAUUGCUAGAAAAGGCCUAUCAUUACAAUAACCACUGGACCCCUUACUCUGGUGUGUAUACAGUGGAAUUACACUGAAAUGGUAAACCAAAACAUAAACAUAAACGUAUUCAAAUACAGGGAGAGCUGUGCUACCCAAGAGUCAUAUUACUUACCUACCUAGUCUUCAUCACCAGCAGCGGUGAAGAGGAUAGGUAUUGACAUGUGGGGAUAAAUCUUGAGUUAGUGCUACCACAUGUUAGGCUCAAGGUGUAUUUUGCAUUUAGCAUUUAUACUCACCUUCAUUUGAAGCGAUUCUCAACUAUGAAUGAAGUUUUCUUCCUACUGUAUCCACCCUCUUUAGAUAUUUUGGAUUUAUCAGCAGAAAAAUUUGAUUAUAGCAACUACAGGGGAUGGCAUGCCAUUAGCACCCGGGCUAAAGACUUUCAAAGACGAUCUGGGACAUUAUCAUCGCUUGUAAUCAAAAAGAAAAUAUUGCCCGUGAUAUUCUAUUUCUAAAAUUUAAUGGACCAUUUGAAUUGUCUACCCGUACAUUAGUAAAGCGUGAACUUUCAAGCAUGGAACUUUCAGGGCUGCUGAGAACUGUCUGGAACUCUCGAGUCCCUUUUUCUAAAAGUUAUUUUUGUAAAUUGCUGUAACAGUGGCUCAUCAGUCACUCUGAAAGGAAGUGAUCCUUGAUUAACAGUUGGCUGACACCAAGCUCCACAGAUGUGUAGCAACAGUACAGGUGCGACUUACAAAACAAGACAGAGCUUUACUCCUCCUUGGUACAAGGAAGGCUGGCAUGAUCAUCCACUUCACAUUAGAGGGUGUCUUAUCCACCAGUGUGCUGACACCAAGCAGGAAUUUCCAAGUAGAGAGCAGACUCCCUGUAGUCACAUGUCCCUGGUGAAAAUUGCUUCAUCAUUCUUCAGAAGGAAAAAAAUAAAAAGAAGAAGCAGAUUCUCUUCAGAAUCCUCUAUUCUCAGAAUGACUAGACAGAACUUUAUGCCAAAAUUCUUGCUCAUCUUCCUAUCUUCUAGUUCCAUAAAUAAAAAUAAAAUGUUAAUAAAUGGA
rnacentral:sRNA from 1 species